rnacentral:rRNA from 1 species
AUACGGAGGAUGCAAGCGUUAUCCGGAUUUAUUGGGUUUAAAGGGUGCGUAGGCGGACAGUCAAGCAGGGGGUGAAAUGCCGGCGCUCAACGCCGGAGCUGCCUUCUGAACUGGCUGUCUGGAGUGGCAGUGCCGUUGGGGGAAUGAGUGGUGUAGCGGUGAAAUGCUUAGAUAUCACUCAGAACACCGAUUGCGAAGGCAUCUGACGAACUGCCCACUGACGCUGAGGCACGAAAGCGUGGGGAUCAAACAGGAUUAGAUACCCUGGUAGUCCACGCAGUAAACGAUGAUGACUAACCGUCGGCGAUACACAGUCGGUGGCCAAGCGAAAGCGAUAAGUCAUCCACCUGGGGAGUACGUUCGCAAGAAUGAAACUCAAAUGAAUUGGCGGGG